AUCUUCUUUCUUAUUUGGCUACCAUACAGGAGUAGUUAAUGAACCACUUGAAAGCAUUUCUGUAGAUCUUGGUUUCAGUGGGAAUACUUUGGCAAAAGGUCUGGUUGUGAGUACAUGUUUGGGUGGUGCCCUUGUUGGAGCGUUACUCAGUGGUUGGAUUGCUGAUGGGGUUGGUCGAUGUAGAGC